rnacentral:antisense_RNA from 1 species
ACGUUGCCAUGAUGUGCCGUGGCCCGGCCGUGGCUGGCGUGAUCCCACCAGAGUGAGCUGGAGCAGAUCUGCACCAUGGGCCAAGUUUCUCAGAAAAUACAUGGCUUCCUGCGGGCUGCAGCCUAAUGCCCACGUUCCUCUCAGGGCAGACCAAAGGUUAUUCAACCAGGGCAAAGGACAGCCUUGCAAACCAACUACGUCCUCCUUCUGGAGUUUGUGUGACCCCUGGCCCCUGAGCCCACACCCUCUCGGAGCGGGGUUCCAACUCCGUGGAAGCUCUGCUGAGAUGCAG